rnacentral:rRNA from 1 species
UGGGGAAUUUUGGACAAUGGGCGAAAGCCUGAUCCAGCAAUGCCGCGUGUGUGAAGAAGGCCUUCGGGUUGUAAAGCACUUUUGUCCGGAAAGAAAUCCUUGGCUCUAAUACAGUCGGGGGAUGACGGUACCGGAAGAAUAAGCACCGGCUAACUACGUGCCAGCAGCCGCGGUAAUACGUAGGGUGCAAGCGUUAAUCGGAAUUACUGGGCGUAAAGCGUGCGCAGGCGGUUUGCUAAGACCGAUGUGAAAUCCCCGGGCUCAACCUGGGAACUGCAUUGGUGACUGGCAGGCUAGAGUAUGGCAGAGGGGGGUAGAAUUCCACGUGUAGCAGUGAAAUGCGUAGAGAUGUGGAGGAAUACCGAUGGCGAAGGCAGCCCCCUGGGCCAAUACUGACGCUCAUGCACGAAAGCGUGGGGAGCAAACAGGAUUAGAUACCCUGGUAGUCCACGCCCUAAACGAUGUCAACUAGUUGUUGGGGAUUCAUUUCCUCAGUAACGUAGCUAACGCGUGAAGUUGACCGCCUGGGGAGUACGGUCGCAAGAUUAAAACUCAAAUGAAUUGACGGGGUCAUAGCUGUUUCCU